rnacentral:rRNA from 1 species
UACGGAGGGUGCAAGCGUUGUCCGGAUUUAUUGGGUUUAAAGGGUGCGCAGGCGGAUUUAUAAGUCAGUGGUGAAAGCCUUCGGCUCAACCGGAGAAUUGCCAUUGAUACUGUAGAUCUUGAGUAUGUUCGAGGUUCUUGGAAUGUGUAGUGUAGCGGUGAAAUGCAUAGAUAUUACACAGAACGCCGAUUGCGAAGGCAGAGGACUAGGACAUAACUGACGCUGAGGCACGAAAGCGUGGGGAGCGAACAGG